rnacentral:rRNA from 1 species
UGGGGAAUAUUGCACAAUGGGGGAAACCCUGAUGCAGCGACGCCGCGUGAGCGAAGUAGGUUUUCGAAUCGUAAAGCUCUGUCCUAUGGGAAGAUAAUGACGGUACCAUAGGAGGAAGCCCCGGCUAACUACGUGCCAGCAGCCGCGGUAAUACGUAGGGGGCAAGCGUUGUCCGGAAUCACUGGGCGUAAAGGGUUCGCAGGCGGAAAUGCAAGUCAGUUGUGAAAGGCAGAGGCUCAACCUCUGUAAGCAAUUGAAACUGUAUUUCUUGAGAUGUGGAGAGGCAAGUGGAAUUCCUAGUGUAGCGGUGAAAUGCGUAGAUAUUAGGAAGAAUACCGGUGGCGAAGGCGACUUGCUGGACACAAACUGACGCUGAGGAACGAAAGCGUGGGUAGCAAACAGG